rnacentral:rRNA from 1 species
CCCUUAGAUGUUCUGGGCCGCACGCGUGCUACACUGAGUAAUUCAAUGGGUAAGGGAACGCUAGAGCAUUACCUAAUCUUGAAAUUUGCUCGUGAUGGGGAUCGACGGUUGCAAUUUUCCGUCGUGAACGAGGAAUACCUUGUAGGCGCAUGUCAUCAUCAUGCGCCGAAUACGUCCCUGCCCUUUGUACACACCGCCCGUCGCUCCUACCGAUUGGGUGAUCCGGUGAGGCUCUGGGACCUGGACGGAAAGAGCGUUUCGCUUGUUCUGUUUGGGAAACUUGGUCGAACCUUAUCAUUUAGAGGAAGGAGAAGUCGUAACA